rnacentral:rRNA from 1 species
GAUGAACGCUGGCGGUAUGCUUAACACAUGCAAGUCGAACGGAACCUUUCGGGGUUUAGUGGCGGACGGGUGAGUAACGCGUGAGAACAUGCCUUUAGAUUGGGGACAACAGUUGGAAACGACUGCUAAUACCGAAUAUGCCUACGGGUGAAAGAUUUAUUGUCUAAAGAUUGGCUCGCGUCAGAUUAGCUAGUAGGAGUGGUAAUGGCACCCCUAGGCGACGAUCUGUACUUGGUCUGAGAGGAUGACCAGGCACACUGGAACUGAGACACGGUCCAGACUCCUACGGGAGGCAGCAGUGGGGAAUUUUCCGCAAUGGGCGCAAGCCUGACGGAGCAAUACCGCGUGAGGGAGGACGGCUUUUGGGUUGUAAACCUCUUUUAUCAGGGAAGAAUCGAUGACGGUACCUGAUGAAUCAGCAUCGGCUAACUCCGUGCCAGCAGCCGCGGUAAU